GUGGGGAAUCUUGCGCAAUGGGCGAAAGCCUGACGCAGCCAUGCCGCGUGAAUGAUGAAGGUCUUAGGAUUGUAAAAUUCUUUCACCGGGGACGAUAAUGACGGUACCCGGAGAAGAAGCUCCGGCUAACUUCGUGCCAGCAGCCGCGGUAAUACGAAGGGGGCUAGCGUUGCUCGGAAUUACUGGGCGUAAAGGGCGCGUAGGCGGACAGCUUAGUCAGAGGUGAACGCUGAGGGCUCAACCUUGGAAUUGCCUUUGAUACUGGCUGUCUUGAGUUUGGGAGAGGUGAGUGGAACUCCGAGUGUAGAGGUGAAAUGCGUAGAUAUUCGGAAGAACACCAGUGGCGAAGGCGACUCACUGGCCCAAUACUGACGCUGAGGCGCGAAAGCGUGGGGAGCAAACAGGAUUAGAUACCCUGGUAGUCC
rnacentral:rRNA from 1 species